rnacentral:rRNA from 1 species
AUUGAACGCUGGCGGCAGGCUUAACACAUGCAAGUCGAACGAGCGGCGGACGGGUGAGUAAUGUCUGGGAAACUGCCUGAUGGAGGGGGAUAACUACUGGAAACGGUAGCUAAUACCGCAUACCAUCAGAUGUGCCCAGAUGGGAUUAGCUAGUAGGUGGGGUAAUGGCUCACCUAGGCGACGAUCCCUAGCUGGUCUGAGAGGAUGACCCGCCACCACUGAAACGAGACACGGUCCAGACUCCUACGGGAGGGAGCAGUGGGGAAUAUUUGACCAUUGGCGCAAAGCCUAUGGAGGCAUGCCGCGGGUUUGAAGAAGGCCUUCGGGUUGGAAAGCACGUUCAGCGAGGAGGCGUUACUCGCAGAAGAAGCACCGGCUAACUCCGUGCCAGCAGCCGCGGUAAUUC